GUCAUCUCUUUUGCACAGCAGUGCCAAGAAGGAGGUACCACUGUGACCUCCAUCUAGCAAGUGGGGAUUCCGAGGCACAAAAGAUGCAGUAAUCCCUCAAGGUCACAUGCAGGAAGAGAGGCGGCAAACAAGGAUGUGGAGGUGCCCUAGGAAGACAAAUUCUGAAAGCAUCCGGAGACCUAGACGUGUGAGCAGCAGCUUCUCAGACCCCCGCCUCCGCUGCUCACCAUCACGCCUAGAUGGCCACAUGAUGACAAUCUGUCGGACAGUUAGCCCUGCCUUCAGUGACACAGGCCUGGUCCCCCACCACUCAGAAGAGACUUGUUUCAUCAGAGGCCACCAGGAAGGUCGGCGUGGAAGGCAGAACCCCAGCCAAAGCACCUGAGCAGGAAACAGCAGGACCCCCUCGAAAAACUGCCAACAAUUUUCAGAAACAGCUUGGACAGACCUGACUAUUUUGGGGCAGGCGCACAGGAGCCACCAAUGAGGGCAUUUGGGUGCCCAGACACUAGCGGCCUGAUAAGUGCCCAUGUCACAUGUGCCCAGGAGAGCCCAGCCCCAGCCUCGAGGGGCCUUACAUCAGCCUGUGUUCAGCGUCCAAGCUCAGCCCCAACCGGGCACACACUGUCCUCCUCAUCCUCUGCUUUGGUGACUUGUUGUUCUGCUGGAACAUGUGUGUGAGUCAAUAUGUUUUUCUCUAUUCAGAAAUAGACUGAGGCCUCUGUUGGGAUCUGGCAUUGUCAGGAGAGGGGACGCCUGGACUGAGCAGUGCGCCACCCACAGGAAAGUGCGCCCAGCAUCUCUGGGCAUCGAGACCUUGGGGCUCUGUCGGUGUCCUUCUCAUUGACCAGGACCAGGGUCAGGGACAGCGCCCUGGGGUGGCCAGUGGCCACCUGAGGGGGUUGGUCAUGGGGCCUGUUUCCAGAUGUCCUGUGGGCCCACUGACGAGAAGAGUUGCUGGAUGCCCACGCCAGGUGGGGCUCACGGCAGACACACAGUCAGGGCUGGCGGCCAGUGAUGUCCCCCAUCCCCACGGCCCCCCUGCGUGCUGGGGAAAGGCAGCAGCUUGAAGAACUGCCCGGUUCCCCGGCUGAGUGAGUCUCCAAGAACGAGGUGGCGGCAUCCGGGCUGUUCUCCCUCCGGUUCAGGCACCAAGUCCCCAGGCAGGUUCAGCAAGGGGCAUCUCGUGACCACUCCAAGUGACUGCACAGAGCCCAGCCAGGCUCAGUGUGAGCAACCCAGGAGACAAGGAUGAGAAUGGCCUGGGUCUGUCUUCUGCUUCCACAGAAUUUGCCAUCAGGAGAGUGAAGAGCCUUGUAGGUAAAUGACCCCAGGACAGGGGCCUGGAUGGAGCCCUGUAGUUAAAUGAGCCCAGCGUGGGGCUCAGAGGCCAAAAGGGGAUAGGGAAAUGGAAGUAAAUCCCGGGGAUAGCUGACAGGGCAGAGAGGCAGCCUCCAGGGCGAGUGGGCAGGAAGGGCAGCCUGGAGGAGCAGCAGAGACAGGAGGGCGGGUCAGUGUGGGGCGGCCAGGCCUGGGCUGCAGCAGGAUGGGCGGCCCGGGCACAGUGCGGCUGCAGGCCCCGUGGAGGGCUUCCUCCCCGGGGCAGAUCCCUCCCCUCCUGGCUGGCUCUGCUGCUCUGCGAAGGAAGCUGACAGCCAGGAGCCCUGCCUUUCUGGCCCCCAUGCCCCAGCGUGUCACCCAGCCCUGCUGGGCGCUGAGACCCCAGGAACGGGGUGGCCACCCUGACGCUGGGCUCUGAGGGUGAGCUUCCUUCAGUGGGCAGGGGCUGGUGGCCCUCUGAAACCUGUCCACAGUGAGAUCAGAGGCAGGGCAAAGCACACUGCAGUCCCCUCAGUCUUUCCUGGGGAAAUGCCAUAGUGACCUUCAGGGACAGCGGGAGAAAAAGACUGCAGCCACCCUGUGGAUACAGUGAAGGUUCCUGUGCCCAGGAUUCGCACCUGCCCUGGCCGGCUAGCUCACUACACACCCGUGGGCAAUACGCUGUUAUUGACUUUAUGGAAAGAGCUCCGCCCAGUGCUCUGGGCUGCACGGCUGCAGGGGAGCAGAGGCUGGAGUGGAGGCAGCACUGAGGAUGGAGACUGAGAGGCUGCGGGGCAGGGAGGCCUGGAGGCAGAGACCGGCCUGCUGCGUGCGGACUCGCUCCGAGUGGACAGGAUUCUUGUGCUUCGCCUGCCACUGGGAGAAAAAGUUGGGUAUAAACCCUUUCACCCCAAGGAUGUUCCACUGUCAUUUUUCAGUCUCACUGGAUCCAUAGUGAGCGUGCCUGGGACUAAAAUCCACUGGCAGGACGAACUCACUGUAGGAGUCCAGGAUGCAUACCACAGUGUCCUGGGCUCUCUGCCCGGGUCUCCAGAGCCCAGGGAGGCUCCCAAGGCCUUGGGCAAGGCUGGAACCACUGCUGACUGCCCGGCUCACUCUGCCUGGGGAGCAGGGAGGUGCUCAGGGGACCCACACCCCCCAUACCGUGCCUCCCGGCCUCUUUGUUUCUGCCUAGACUACAAGGCGGUGGCUCCCAGGGCCGUGGUCUGCUGUCAGCUCAGGUCUGCCUGCCCAGUGGGGCAACAUCUGGUCCAGAGUGGGUCUCUCUCUGUGCCAGCUUAGCCAGGCCUUUUCAAUAGAGGGCAAGCAAAAAGAGGAAGGUCAACCAUUGCCCCGUUGCAGGGGCCUCAAGCUGCUUUAUGGACCCACCUGUGCACCAACACAUGACGUGAGUGUGGACACGGACACUGCCAUGACACGUCUACAGUGACCCCACUGCCCGCGUUUCAGGGACCUCACGCCCCUUCUGCCCCCACACUCCCCGCCAGCAAGCAAAGUGAGGGGCCUCAGACACCCUCCAGCCCGGAGGCAGCUGAGAAUGGACAGUGGCCAGAGGGGUCCCUGCAGGCACAGGAGCGUCCUCAGCCAGGCAACACGCUGGAAGGAUGACACCAGUUUCCGGAAAUAACAGUAAAAAUACAAGUCCUACACAUUGGACCAGCCAAGCCCCUCCCAGCUGCCCCCGAACCCUCUCCUGAUGAACCCCCCUGGGAGGCAGGGGCUACUAUGAGCCUUCGGGCAUUUAUCACCAAGCCUGUUCUCCAUAAAAUCAGGAGAAAAUUUCCCACAGGCAAGAUUAUUCUUUUUUUAUGCAUUCGGCAAGAAUGCAAAAGAACAAAGAUGUGUUUCCAUCGUAAAGGAGAAACAAAUCUAGUCCUUUUUCAAGCUUCAGGUGUGAAUACCCUUACAUGGAUGAAAGACUUAAUAAAAACCCCUUAAGCAGUGAAAUGUGCUGACUCAGCGUGUCUCUGCCGCAUCCACAGUGACCCUUCCUAUUCAGAGAAGGUUUUGAUUGUUAAAAGGAAAAUGAUGUAAAGGGUACCUUUUAUCUGAG